rnacentral:rRNA from 1 species
CCAAACGAGCCUAGUGAUAGCUGGUUACUCAAGAAAAGGAUUUUAGUCCAACCUAAAGUCUCGCUAUUACAUUAAAAACUCCCCCUGACUUUAGAGCAAUUCAAAUAAGGUACAGCCUAUUUGAAACAGGAUACAACCUCGCCUGACGGGUAAACUUUUUCCUCCGCCCCCCUAAGUAGGCCUAAGAGCAGCCACCUUUCUAAAAGCGUCACAGCUUAGUCCCCCCAGACCCUUAAUUCCUUAUAUUUAUUCAAACCCUCUAACAAUAUUGAGUAAUCCUAUACUUUUAUAGAAAAUUUUAUGUUGAAACUAGUAACAAGAAGACAAGCCUUCUCUUAAAUGCAAGUAUAAAUCAGAAAGGAUAAACCACUGAUAAUUAACGCCCAUGAACAUACAUUAGCAACACCCCCAAGAAAAACCUAAUUAACUUCACGUUAAUCUGACACAAGAGCAUUUCAAGAAAGAUUAAAAGAAAGAGAAGGAACUCGGCAAAUGUUAACCCCGCCUGUUUACCAAAAACAUCGCCUCUUGCUUAAAAAUAAGAGGUCCAGCCUGCCCAGUGACAAAUGUUCAACGGCCGCGGUAUCCUAACCGUGCGAAGGUAGCGUAAUCACUUGUUCUUUAAAUGCGGACUAGUAUGAAUGGCACCACGAGGGUUAUACUGUCUCCUCUCUCCAAUCAGUGAAACUAAUCUCCCCGUGAAGAAGCGGGGAUAAAUCUAUAAGACGAGAAGACCCUAUGGAGCUUUAAACUUCUCUUCAGCCGCCAAACUACCUUUAUAAGUCACUGACCUCCCCGCACUAACCCCUGGCGCCAUGAAAAUGAAUUUUAGGUUGGGGUGACCGCGGAGUACAAAAUAACCUCCACGCUGAACAAGGUCUCUUAAACCUUGAGCAGAGGGCAACAACCCUAAGCACUAAAAAACUAACAUCCAUUGACCCAAUAUUAACUUGAUCAACGAACCAAGUUACCCUAGGGAUAACAGCGCAAUCCACUUCAAGAGUCCUUAUCGACAAGUGGGUUUACGACCUCGAUGUUGGAUCAGGGUAUCCCAGUGGUGCAGCCGCUACUAAUGG